CCUACGGGGGGCUGCAGUGGGGAAUAUUGGACAAUGGGGGCAACCCUGAUCCAGCCAUGCCGCGUGUGUGAAGAAGGCCCUCGGGUUGUAAAGCACUUUCAGUGAGGAAGAACGCCUGGUGGUUAAUACCCAUCAGGAAAGACAUCACUCACAGAAGAAGCACCGGCUAACUCCGUGCCAGCAGCCGCGGUAAUACGGAGGGUGCGAGCGUUAAUCGGAAUUACUGGGCGUAAAGCGCGCGUAGGUGGCUUGAUAAGCCGGUUGCGAAAGCCCCGGGCUCAACCUGGGAACGGCAUCCGGAACUGUCAAGCUAGAGUGCAGGAGAGGAAGGUAGAAUUCCCGGUGUAGCGGUGAAAUGCGUAGAGAUCGGGAGGAAUACCAGUGGCGAAGGCGGCCUUCUGGACUGACACUGACACUGAGGUGCGAAAGCGUGGGUAGCAAACAGGAUUAGAUACCCUAGUAGUC
rnacentral:rRNA from 1 species